rnacentral:lncRNA from 1 species
AAACAAUUUUCCGAUAAUUUAGCAAAUUUUGGCUUGAAGAGGUCAUAUCAAAGGGGUAGCAGAUGCGAAGAAAAUACUGAUCUCUAAAUGUACAAUAACGACGAAGUGGAGUAGAUGAAAAUAUCCAUAAGCACUGAUUGUUGCUUCGUCGUAUGCGAUUCUUUUCGAGACGAUCAUAUUACCAAUUCGACCUCUUCACUUCAUUGAAUAUCAUAAGAAUGCUUGACAUGAGCCGAUUAAGAGUUUCCAAGUUUUGAAUUUCAAUAUUUCGUAUCGUAACGCACAACGUCUGUUCGCCAGUCAACCAAACAACCAACCAAACAACCAACCAGCCGUUAGUAAACGAGACCCAGCCAGCAGUGAGCCGACGUGGCGUAUUUAGGCAGUUAGUCGAUGAGGCAGCGCAUAAAAAGUCAACUGUCGACUUCCGUCCGAGUGCCGGUCUAGUUGGCCAGCCAAUGGAAUCGCAAUAACGAUGUGUCGCUUAGGACAAUCCUGAAUGACUGAUACAUCAAUCCACAGCCUGAGCCACUGAUCAUACAGAUUUCAAACUUGGAGGGAGUAUUCGGUGUAUGAAAAUUAAAUUUAUUUUUAAAUCGCUCGAUUUACAUGGCAUUCGACUCAGAGGUAGCUCUUUGAAUAGAUUCACAUGGGUAAACUUUUCCUUCCGGAAAGUUAACUUGGGAUCGAUCUAUUCGGACAAUUAUUUAUAGCUUUUUACAACAAUAUGUGGAAACUAGGGGUUCGGUUCGAAUAAAGCUAACAAAAAAUCUUA